GAUGAACGCUAGCGGCAGGCUUAAUACAUGCAAGUCGAGGGGCAGCAUGACUUUAGCAAUACCGUUGAUGGCGCCCGGCAAACGGGUGCGGACCACGUACAGAACCUUCCUUUGAGCUGGGAAUAGCCUAGAGAUAUUUGGAUUAAUACCCCAUAGUACAACGGAGUCGCAUGACUUUGUUGUUAAAGAUUUAUCACCUCAAGAUGGCUGUGCGGCUGUUUAGGUAGUUGGCGGGGUAACGGCCCACCAAGACUGCGAUCGGUAGCUGGUCUGGGAGAACGACCAGCCACACUUGGAUGGAGACACGGCCCAGAUUCCUACGGGAGGCAGCAGUGGGGAAUUCUGGACAAUGGGCGCAGGCCUGAUCGAGCCAUGCCGCGUGCAGGAUGAAGGCCUUCGGGUUGUAAGCUGCUUUUGUACGGAACGAAAAGACUCUUGAUAAUACCUGGGGUCCAUGACGGUACCGUAAGAAUAAGCACCGGCUAACUACGUGCCAGCCGCCGCCGUAAAAC
rnacentral:rRNA from 1 species